AGUCCGCUUCGGUGGAUGAGUAAAGUGGCGCACGGGUGAGUAACGCGUGGAUAAUCUACCCUUUAGUCUGGAAUAUCUUAUCGAAAGGUGAACUAAUACCGGAUAAUAUCCCGAUUUCUUCGGCGAUCGGGAUCAAAGAAGGCCUCUGCUUGCAAGCUUUCACUGAAGGAUGAGUCCGCGUACCAUUAGCUAGUUGGUAGGGUAAUGGCCUACCAAGGCUACGAUGGUUAGCUGGUCUGAGAGGAUGAUCAGCCACACUGGAACUGAGACACGGUCCAGACUCCUACGGGAGGCAGCAGUGAGGAAUAUUGCGCAAUGGGGGCAACCCUGACGCAGCAACGCCGCGUGAGUGAGGAAGGUUUUCGGACCGUAAAGCUCUGUCGAGCGGGAAGAAAUGCAUGGUGGCUAAUAUCCAUCAUGCUUGACGGUACCGCUAAAGGAAGCACCGGCUAACUCCGUGCCAGCAGCCGCGGUAAUACGGGGGGUGCAAGCGUUGUUCGGAAUUAUUGGGCGUAAAGCGCGUGUAGGCGGCUGAAUAAGUCAGAUGUGAAAUCCCUGGGCUUAACCCAGGACGUGCAUUUGAAACUAUUCAGCUUGAGUAGGGGAGAGGAAA
rnacentral:rRNA from 1 species